CCCUUAGAUGUUCUGGGCCGCACGCGCGCUACACUGAUGCAUUCAACGAGCCUAUCCUUGACCGACAGGUCCGGGUAAUCUUUGAAUCUGCAUCGUGACGGGGAUAGAUUAUUGCAAUUAUUAAUCUUCAACGAGGAAUGCCUAGUAGGCGCAAGUCAUCAGCUUGCGUCGAUUACGUCCCUGCCCUUUGUACACACCGCCCGUCGCUCCUACCGAUUGCGUGUGCUGGUGAAAUGUUCGGAUCGGCCGUUUGUCGCGGUUUCCGCGUCAUGUGGCUGAGAAGUUCAUUAAACCCUCCCACCUAGAGGAAGGAGAAGUCGUAACA
rnacentral:rRNA from 1 species